rnacentral:misc_RNA from 1 species
AACUAUCAAAUAGAACUUUUGUAUACAAUAUUGACAAGUGAAUUACAGUUGCAAUGAUUCAAUCUAAAAUCUAAAUUUUUUUUCCAAAAGUUUUUGGCAAAUGAAGUUUAACGGAACUAUACUGUUGUUUUUAUUAUUUUCUUUAUUUUUAUUCUCUAUUUUUUUGGCUUACCUACAAAAGAGGGUGUUUUUUAACUUUUCACUUUUUAAUUUUAUCUGUUAAAUUUUCAUGCAAUAUAAGAACAAAAAGCGUGAAUUGUGAGUAUUUAAUUUUCUCCAAGUGGAGUUUGAAAAUUUUUUUUCAAAAAAGAAAAUUAAGUUGGGCCCUUAUGUAUAACACAGCAUUGCUCUACCUAAAAAUAGCAAAAUAUCAUUAUAAUAUAACCUUUAAGGUAAUGGUCCUUUCUUAACACACAGUUUAAACAGACAUGGAUAAUUUCAUGAAGAAAAGUAGAAUAAUAUAACUAACUCUUGAAUAAAAG